GGCCCCGGCCUAUCAGUUGUUGGUGGGGUAGUGGCCUACCAAGGCGACGACGGGUACCGGCCUGAGAGGUGACCGGCCACACUGGGACUGAGACACGGCCCAGACUCUACGGGAGGCGCAGUGGGGAAUAUUGCGCAAUGGGCGGAAGCCUGACGCGCGACGCCGCGGGGGGAUGACGGCCUUCGGGUUGUAAACCUCUUUCAGCAGGACGAAGCGGAGUGACGGUACCUGCAGAAGAAGCACCGGCCAACUACGUGCAGCAGCCGCGUAAUACGUAGGGUGCAAGCGUUGUCCGGAAUUAUUGGGCGAAAGAGCUCGUGGCGGUCUGUCGCGUCGGCUGUGAAAUCCCGAGGCUCAACUCGGGUCUGCAGCGAUACGGGCAAACUAGAGUAUUGCAGGGGAGACUGGAAUCCUGGUGUAGCGUGAAAUGCGCAGAUAUCAGGAGGAACACCGGUGGCGAAGCGGGUCUCUGGCAAUAACUGACGCUGAGGAGCGAAAGCGUGGGGAGCGACAGGAUUAGAUACCUGGUAGUCCACGCCGUAAAC
rnacentral:rRNA from 1 species